rnacentral:rRNA from 1 species
GAUGAACGCUGGCGGCGUGCCUAAUACAUGCAAGUCGAGCGAACGGACGAGAAGCUUGCUUUUCUGAUGUUAGCGGCGGACGGGUGAGUAACACGUGGAUAACCUACCUAUAAGACUGGGAUAACUUCGGGAAACCGGAGCUAAUACCGGAUAAUAUUUUGAACCGCAUGGUUCAAAAGUGAAAGACGGUCUUGCUGUCACUUAUAGAUGGAUCCGCGCUUCAUUAGCUAGUUGGUAAGGUAACGGCUUACCAAGGCAACGAUGCAUAGCCGACCUGAGAGGGUGAUCGGCCACACUGGAACGUGGACACGGUCCAGACUCCUACGGGAGGCAGCAGUAUGGAAUCUUCCGCAAAGGGCGGAAGCCUGACGGAGCAACGGCGCGUGAGUGAUGAAGGUCUUCGGAUCGUAAAACUCUGUUAUUAGGGAAGAACAUAUGUGUAAGUAACUGUGCACAUCUUGACGGUACCUAAUCAGAAAGCCACGGCUAACUACGUG